CCUACGGCGGGGCAGCAGUGGGGAAUAUUGGACAAUGGGCGCAAGCCUGAUCCAGCCAUGCCGCGUGAGUGAUGAAGGCCCUAGGGUUGUAAAGCUCUUUCAACGGUGAAGAUAAUGACGGUAACCGUAGAAGAAGCCCCGGCUAACUUCGUGCCAGCAGCCGCGGUAAUACGAAGGGGGCUAGCGUUGUUCGGAAUUACUGGGCGUAAAGCGCACGUAGGCGGAUUGUUAAGUUAGGGGUGAAAUCCCAGGGCUCAACCCUGGAACUGCCUUUAAUACUGGCAAUCUAGAGUCCGAGAGAGGUGAGUGGAAUUCCGAGUGUAGAGGUGAAAUUCGUAGAUAUUCGGAGGAACACCAGUGGCGAAGGCGGCUCACUGGCUCGGUACUGACGCUGAGGUGCGAAAGCGUGGGGAGCAAACA
rnacentral:rRNA from 1 species